UACGUAGGGUGCGAGCGUUGUCCGGACUUACUGGGUGUAAAGCGCAUGCAGGUGGCUGUGCAAGUAUGCUGUGAAAGCCCCGUGCUUAACACGGGGAGGCCAGUAUAGACUGCACGGCUCGAGGACUGCAGAGGGUAGGGGAAUUGCUGGUGUAGUGGUGAAAUGCGUAGAGAUCAGCAGGAACACCAAGGACGAAGGUACCUACCUGGGCAGUAACUGACACUCAAGUGCGAAAGCGUGGGGAGCGAACCGG
rnacentral:rRNA from 1 species